rnacentral:rRNA from 1 species
GUAGCACAGAGAGCUUGCUCUCGGGUGACGAGUGGCGGACGGGUGAGUAAUGUCUGGGAAACUGCCUGAUGGAGGGGGAUAACUACUGGAAACGGUAGCUAAUACCGCAUAACGUCGCAAGACCAAAGAGGGGGACCUUCGGGCCUCUUGCCAUCAGAUGUGCCCAGAUGGGAUUAGCUAGUAGGUGGGGUAAUGGCUCACCUAGGCGACGAUCCCUAGCUGGUCUGAGAGGAUGACCAGCCACACUGGAACUGAGACACGGUCCAGACUCCUACGGGAGGCAGCAGUGGGGAAUAUUGCACAAUGGGCGCAAGCCUGAUGCAGCCAUGCCGCGUGUAUGAAGAAGGCCUUCGGGUUGUAAAGUACUUUCAGCGAGGAGGAAGGUGUUGUGGUUAAUAACCGCGGCAAUUGACGUUACCCGCAGAAGAAGCACCGGCUAACUCCGUGCCAGCAGCCGCGGUAAUACGGAGGGUGCAAGCGUUAAUCGGAAUUACUGAGCGUAAAGCGCACGCAGGCGGUCUGUCAAGUCGGAUGUGAAAUCCCCGGGCUCAACCUGGGAACUGCAUUCGAAACUGGCAGGCUAGAGUCUUGUAGAGGGGGGUAGAAUUCCAGGUGUAGCGGUGAAAUGCGUAGAGAUCUGGAGGAAUA